AUUGAACGCUGGCGGCAGGCCUAACACAUGCAAGUCGAACGAGUGGCGGACGGGUGAGUAAUGUCUGGGAAACUGCCUGUUGGAGGGGGAUAACUACUGGAAACGGUAGCUAAUACCGCAUACCAUCGGAUGUGCCCAGAUGGGAUUAGCUAGUAGGUGGGGUAAAGGCUCACCUAGGCGACGAUCCCUAGCUGGUCUGAGAGGAUGACCAGCCAAACUGGAACUGAGACACGGUCGCGAGGCCUACGGGAGGUAGAAGUGGGGAAUAUUGCACAAUGGGCGCAAGCCUGAGGCAGCCAGGCCGCGUGUAUGAAGAAGGCCUUCGGGUUGUAAAGUACUUUCAGCGGGGAGGCGUUACCCGCAGAAGAAGCACCGUCUAACACCGUGCCAGCAGCCGCGGUAAUUC
rnacentral:rRNA from 1 species